rnacentral:rRNA from 1 species
GGGUCAGUAGGUUGGUCGUGCCACCGGUACGUACUGGUCUCACUGAUCCCUCCUUCCUGAAGAACCGUAAUGCCAUUAAUUUGGUGUUGCGGGGAAACAGGACUGUUACUUUGAAAAAAUUAGAGUGUUUAAAGCAAGCUAACGCUUGAAUACAUUAGCAUGGAAUAAUGAAAUAGGACGAUCGAUCCUAUUUUGUUGGUUUCUAGGAUUGACGUAAUGAUUAAUAGAUAGUUGGG